ensembl:lncRNA
GCACCGAAGGGCGCAGCGGGAGCCCUGAGGGCGCCACGCCGGACCCUUAGCCCGCGGGCGGGAGGCAGCGUCACACGUUGCAUCACGGCCCGGUCCAGGGGGAUGCGGCAGUUGAAGACAAGUCCCUGGGGAGCAGCCCCAGGCAAAUGAAUUGUGUUCCUUAUUAGGGACGCAAAAGAACUCGGUAAGUUGAGAUGGUGAACGCUGAGCUGGUUACGCUGGCUAGCUAGCCCACCUCUGUUACCUGCUUAAGAUCAGGGAAUGGAAGAACCCCCCAGCGCAUCAGUGUUGCGAAUCUCCCAGAACCGGAGGUCGGGAAGGAGGCAGAGAGCAGGAAUUCCAGGAAACUUACUACGCUGGAAUAAGAAACACAAGCGUUUGGCUUAAAAAAAAUUAAAAAAGAAGGGGGGGGAGGGGGAGAAAGGAGGCGCAAGCUUUUUCUUUUUUUCUGAUACCAUCAGAGAACAAAAGUUGACUUGGCACAAAAAUACAAAUCAAGGUGGGUACACCUUAAGUAAAGAUACAUCUGAAGUGCAACUGUACUAAAGAGAAUCACUUAAGCAUUUAGGAUAUGGGACUCCAUCUAAGAAACCCAAUCGGUAAGAAGUGCCCCCCUACUGUAUUUUCACAUGAGAAAACUGGCAGCCCUAGCCAAUUAUUUCUGAAAUCAUGGCAAUGAGGAGUCACAGGAACAGCUUGCCACAUCAGAAAUAAAAGCCCUCGUGAUUCCAGUGGAUUGCUUUCUGGUUUACUCACUCCUGAUGUAAGGAAAUCCAUCAAAUUCUCAACAUCUCUCAUACCUAUUCACGUGAAAUGAAGCUGAUAAGUUGAACAAUUAUCCGUGUGUAUUCUUUUAUAAUGAUCUGCAAAGGGACAAAGUUACGUGCUCUGUUUUCUUCUUCAGCUAUGUUAUAUGCCUGUGUUAGUUGCAUAUACACAACUAUAAUCCCAUUCGUUUGUUGGUAUACUCUUCAGAUUGCAGUUGUAAAGCAUGGAAAGAGCUUCUUGGUCAAAACCAAAGAGGAACAACAACAACAACAAAGUAAAAAAGCCCCACUUCAUGCAUCUACGCUUCAAAUUGACUCCAAAUUUCUCUAGCUGAGAUACACCCAUCAUCAAAUUCACUACAGCAAAGAGCUGUAAACUUAGUAUUUCAUGGAUUGGUAUGGAACUGAAUGUUUCCACAAUAUCUGGUAUUUUUCCACAUGCAAAAUAAAAGAAUUAAAAAAAGGGUACAUUUUGGGGGGAAAAAAAAAAAGGAAUUUGAGAGCUGUCACUUUAGAGAAGAUGCUGAGUUUAGAAUUCACCUUUUACACGAAAAACCAUUUUCAGAGUAAAACCUGCAAACAGGUUCAGGUAUCAUUAAACAGUUUCACUAAUUUUUAAGAAAGGAAUAAAGUCAUCGAGUUCUUUCUCUUCCCCUCCUGUGUUUUUAGGCAGAGAUUAAUGGUGAUGGGAAGCUAGAGAUGGUUCAGCUUUCCUCAAAACUAACAUUUAGGGGCAGUUAUUAGUAAAGGCCUUGCAUGUGAAGACACAGUUACAGAAGGGCAGGAAAAUGGAGGUGGAUCAAUUUCUGGAAGUGGAAAUGCAUUAUCAUAAAGUGAUUUAGUGGCUCAGGUUGAGGACCAAAGGGUAAAAUUUGGUAAGAAAGCUAAGCAGCACUUUUUUGGUCUCCUAUAAAGCAUAGACCAUUUGUAAACACAGAUGAAAAACUGUAUUAUUCAGGAUGGUUUGAAGUCAGCUUCUAAGAUGUGCGUUGCAGUAGGGGGUACUUUUAAUGGACUGAUCUGUCAAAGUAACCAUUCUCAUAAAAAGGUAGGUUAACACUUUCCAAAUGUUGUCAAUGACUUGUGCCUCAACAGGGAGAGGAGAAAGGAAAUGUUACUGAUUUCAUACAUGACCCAUACUAAACUGCAUAUUUCUUUUUUGAAGGUACUUUUUUUUUUAGAAGACUAUUUAAUAAAUAAAGGCAUUUAGA